CUGUACCCAUCCUGAACUCGCCCCAUCUCAUCUGAUCUCGAAAGCUAAGCAGGGGCGGGCCUGGUUAGUACUUGGAUGGGAGAACACUCAAUCAGCCACUUGUGGUGCAGA
rnacentral:rRNA from 1 species